rnacentral:rRNA from 1 species
CGCGGCCUAUCAGCUUGUUGGUGGGGUAACGGCCUACCAAGGCGACGACGGGUAGCCGGCCUGAGAGGGCGACCGGCCACACUGGGACUGAGACACGGCCCAGACUCCUACGGGAGGCAGCAGUGGGGAAUAUUGCGCAAUGGGCGAAAGCCUGACGCAGCGACGCCGCGUGAGGGAUGAAGGCCUUCGGGUUGUAAACCUCUUUCAGCAGGGACGAAGCGAAAGUGACGGUACCUGCAGAAGAAGCACCGGCCAACUACGUGCCAGCAGCCGCGGUAAUACGUAGGGUGCAAGCGUUGUCCGGAAUUAUUGGGCGUAAAGAGCUCGUAGGCGGCCUGUCGCGUCGGCUGUGAAAACUCAGGGCUCAACCCUGAGCCUGCAGUCGAUACGGGCAGGCUAGAGUCCGGCAGGGGAGACUGGAAUUCCUGGUGUGGCGGUGAAAUGCGCAGAUAUCAGGAGGAACACCGGUGGCGAAGGCGGGUCUCUGGGCCGGAACUGACGCUGAGGAGCGAAAGCGUGGGGAGCGAACAGGAUUAGAUACCCUGGUAGUCCACGCCGUAAACGUUGGGCGCUAGGUGUGGGGAACCUUCCACGUUCUCCGUGCCGCAGCUAACGCAUUAAGCGCCCCGCCUGGGGAGUACGG